AGGAGAUCAUAUGACUGGCGGAAAUGGAGUUUACCAUAGGGAGUAUGAUUGAUAAAGAGCCGACCGCCUGGGUAACAGUU
rnacentral:ncRNA from 2 species